UUAGUAAUAAUAAAGUAAGUUUAUUAUAUUUUAGUAAGUCUAUAAAAUAUUACUAGUUUCUUUGAAAAAAAUUAUUCAUUGGUUAUUAGUAUGAAGUAAUGUACUAUACAUCACUUUACUGAAUGAUUUUCACAGAAUCAUGGAACCAUAGAAUCCUAAGAGUUGAGAGGGACCUCAUGAAGAUGCUAAAGUGUAUCGGUCCCAGCACUGACACCUGUGGGACACCACUCACCACUGAUCUCCAUCCAGACACUGAGCCAUUGACCACCACUCUUUGGACUUGAUCCUGCAGCCAGGAUCAUCCAACAAACAGUCCACCCAUCAUAUCCAUAUCUUUCCAAUAUGGAGGGAAUGAUGUUGUGAAGUACUGUGUCAAAGUUCUUACUGAAGUCCAGAUAAAUGACAUCAAUGACACAUUUUGUAAUUACAUUAUUAUUCAUUAGAUUUACAUGGCAUGCACAAAUAUUUUAAACAAAAUAUAUACAUGUGCGUUCAUAUGCAUGUGUAUUGCGUAUAAAUACAUUGUUAUAGAUGUAUUCUUAUCUAGCUUUGCUCAAGGCCAAUCAAGACUAACUCUAUCUAGCAUUCCAGCUACAAUUUAAAUGUCUUCUUUAUUCUUUCAUUUCUCUAGAAAGAUAAUUUAAAGGUCUUCCAUUCAAUAGAAAUGUUCUCUUGCUUUUUUCACAGAUCAUCAGACAUCAAGAAACUCCUGAAUCUACUCAUCUAAAUGAAUCAUUAGCACUUCAAGCAAUUCUUGCUCAAAGUACCAUACAGCAUAUACCCUUCAUGGUAUAUGCUCUGAAGGUGUUUGUAGAAAGCAUUUUAGAAUGUUACAUUGAUAUUAAGCAUUUUACUUAGGCAAAGGAAAAUAUUUUUAUUUGGAAUUCCAUGAAACAUUCAUCCCAGAAUUCUUGGCUAGUUAAUGCACUACGUACUGCAUAAAAAAUAACAAUGCAUUAAAAAGGCACAUGCUUCCAUAUAAAAUGGCUGUUCUGAAAGCAAGGCCUCGUAUUUUAUUAUGUUUGCCACAAUGUCAGAGGUGGAUGUUGGUGGUAUGGCAGUAGAGGCUGAACCUUCCCACCAAUAUUCCCUUACAUUUUGUUGCCAUGUGACAGAUGGCAGCAGAAGGGCAGUCUGACAGAGAGGCAUCUGACAUGGAAGAGUGUAUGAAGCAAAGGUGUGUCCAUGAAUUUCUCUAUGUGGAAAAGAGUGCGCAUACUGACAUUGAUGUUCGUUGAAUGUUUAUGGAGACCAAACAGUGGAUGUGACCGCAGUGAGUCAGUGGGUGCAGAAACAACAACAAUAAAACAUUCAUCUUUUGUGACCAGUGGCAAUGACCAGCAUUAUCUCUUCAAGUGUAAAUGCAUGGAGGUGCAGAAGGACAGAGAUACUACUGCUUGAGUAAUUUCCAUGUCACAGUGCGGCUUCAUGGUCAGCGCAACAAUCCAUAAGCUAGCCAGAAGAAAGACACAAGCCACUUGGGACCACCAGAAAACAAAGAGUUCCCUUACAAAUCUAAGGACUCUCAUGGGACUCUAUGUGUCUGCUGCAGCACUAAGUGGCGGAAAAAUACUCUGCAUAUCAUACAGUAAAGUAAUCCUUCCUCUUGAAUCUGGCACUUCUACAAGGGGCCAUUCACUUCGUUCAGUGUAACCAAUCUCUUCAAUCUCUCAUUGACUGUUCUGGCCUGUUUAAAUCACCUAGAUAUUAUUCACUUGCUUGAAUAUCUAUGCUAUGACACUGGUUUUGUAGGUGAGUAACGCAGAAUAUUCACACUUGCCCUUCAGUCUGAAUUUCUUGCAUCUGUCCUAGAGCUGGGCAGAUUGCCUUUUACAUCUGUAUUUCCAGCAGUUUGGAACUGCUGGAAGCAGUUUGGCUGGAAGCAGUUUGGCUGGAAGCCAAACUUCCACCUAGCUGCUUGUUCACUCUUCAUUCUCAGCAGGACCAGAAAAGAGCCUAGGAAUGAGAAAGCACUUGGGUUAAGGUAAAAAGGAGACUGCUUACCCAUUUCCAUCGGAGACAAAACAGACUUGACGUUGGAAAUAAUUUACUGUCAAUUAUGACUAUAUAUACACAUACAUGUAUGUAAUUAGUGAUGUUGGGUAUUGGGAAGCAAAAUCAAAAAAGAGAAACAAAAAUUAAAACACUUCAGAAAAUUAUUUUCCUCCCAUCCCAGGUUUCUCCCUCCCACUUCACUUCAGACUCCUCUGCUCUACCUUACACCCCCCUUGUUUUGUCAAAGGUUUCACUUAGUCCUCUCAGCAAGACAGUGAGCACUGGAAGCAGAGAGCUGUCAUGCUCAGUACACAGCUGUUUCUUUGCACAUCUUUCCUCUUCUGCAGCAUAAGCUCUCCACAGACUACUGAGGAUUUCUGGAGAAUCAUGGAGCAUCUUCAUAUUGUCUUCAUUAAGUAAACCCAGGUCCAGCCUCUCUCUCUCUUAAUAUGUGGGACAUCUGCAUGCAACAGAAUGUCACACAAACCUGUGUAAAGCAGGAAAAGAGAAGAUAAUGACAACUGUAAUCACUUUGUGAAUUGACUCCUGCGGAACAAUUUACUCCAAUGCAUAUAGUUAUUAUGUAAUUAUUUAUAUUAAUAAUGAAAAGAUAAUUAAUAUUUAUUAAUUAAACUAAGCUUUUCUAUUUCCCGCUACCUGGAGGUCUUAGAAACCUGCUGUUAUCAUUAAAUAAUCAGAGAGUACUUUACUGACUUCUUCAUAAGACAGAAAGGAAUCCACUGUUGGUGACGCAUGACCAAAGACAUCCAGCCAGGCUAUUGGUAAAACAAAGGGCAGGACAACAAGAGACUGGGUUUACUUCAUCUUCUACCAAGAGAAGGAAGAUGCCAAGGGAAGCUUUCUGGAUGAAAAUUUUCUGGUUUAGUUGCCGCUAUGAACAGGUUAAAAUCAAAUGUUAAACUACAAAACAAACAAACAAAACAAAAUAAACCAGAAAAACUCUCAAAAUUUAAUUUGUUGAAUCUCCUUAUCUGACACUUUAAUAUUAAAUGAGGUUUUUGUCUCUUUUUUUUCUGCUUGCAAAUCAAUGAAUGAUUGUUUGAAACUACCAAUUUAUUGUUCUUUUGGUUAUUUAAAUGUACUGAAAUUUUCUUUCAAAUUUGUUUGUGUUAAUAGAACUUCCCAUAUAAGUUACGAAGUGAUACAGCUCAGGUGGGUCAUGUGCAUCUUUAACUUAUUUUCAUUAGUGUAUUCAGCCAAAAGAAGAAAAUGUUAACAUCUAGAAUCCCACUGUCAUUUUAAGCAAGUACCAUAAAAGUCAGUCAGUCAGUUGCUGUGGUAAUGGCCUGUGUGGUUAUUGUGCUUUAAUUCAGAUCUGAUGUACUUUGUAGAACUGCAUGCAGGUGAAGCUUGAGCUUUGAAAUGCAGUUCUUCUAAGAAUUCCUUAAGCAUGUAUUGAAUUGAGUGCUUUGAAGUUAAUUCAGCUUUCUAAUUAUUACUUUAUAGAGUUCAAAGAGUUUAUGCUUUCAACAAAGUUCAGUGUGUUUAUCUAUUACCUACUGUUACUGCUUAGAAACAGUGCAGAGAGCAGUACGUAGCCCAACACUAUUACAGUGAUCUUGACACCAGGCAGUCAUACUCUUUUUUUUUCCCCCAACGAGUAUAAAUUAUUUAAUUUCCCUAACUUCUAAAUUCAUUUUUCUCUUUUUUAGUAUCUUAAUUUGCAAUCAUUAAUUCCAUAAACUUAUUUCUAAUAGAUCUAUUACAUUUUAUAUAGCUCUACAUACACUGUGCUCAUUCUUUUCUUUCCUGGGUACUUAUGCAGACUAUGAUGUCUUAUUAUUACAUACCUGUUUUAUAAAAAAACUAAGAUCUAGAUAGUUUUCAAAAUGCUUAACCUUUGUUUUAACUCAUUUCUGGCUCUUUUCACCUCUCCAUUCAGCUAUAGUUCAGAAUAAAUAAGCAGAUAAAAUCAUCAAUCAAUUAGACAUAUUGCCAUUACAAGAACAAUGUUCUAGUUUGGACAAGCUUUGCACUGUAAGCUUUGUGCUAAAGUGUUUUGAUGAGACAGGCAGAAAAAUAAAUUUAUCUAGGUGCUUCUCUAAAAUAGUUGAUAAUUGACUAGCCUUCUUUCUUCCUCUGUUCUUACCUAUCUGUAACACAUACGU